rnacentral:rRNA from 1 species
UAGGGAAUCUUCCACAAUGGACGCAAGUCUGACGGAGCAACGCCGCGUGAGUGAAGAAGGUUUUCGGACCGUAAAGCUCUGUUGUUGGUGAAGAAGGAUAGAGGUAGUAACUGGCCUUUAUUUGACGGUAAUCAACCAGAAAGUCACGGCUAACUACGUGCCAGCAGCCGCGGUAAUACGUAGGUGGCAAGCGUUGUCCGGAUUUAUUGGGCGUAAAGCGAGCGCAGGCGGAAGAAUAAGUCUGAUGUGAAAGCCCUCGGCUUAACCGAGGAAUUGCAUCGGAAACUGUUUUCUUGAGUGCAGAAGAGGAGAGUAGAACUCCAUGUGUAGCGGUGGAAUGCGUAGAUAUAUGGAAGAAUACCAGUGGCGAAGGCGGCUCUCUGGUCUGCAACUGACGCUGAGGCUCGAAAGCAUGGGUAGCGAACAGGAUUAGAUACCCUGGUAGUCCAUGCCGUAAAACGAUGAGUGCUAAGUGUUGGGAGGCUUCCGCCUCUCAGUGCUGCAGCUAAACGCAUUAAGCACUCCGCCUGGGGGAGUACGACCGC